UUAUUAUGUUUAUUAAAACUGUUACAUUCAUAAGACUGGGGUAUGUAUAAAAUUGAUGACUCUCAUUGCAGACUUGCGUCUUUUAUAAGAGCCAAACGGUGCACAGGUGUAUGUGGAUGUGAAGGGUGAGAGGUCAAUGAAGACGCUCUCGAUUUAAUCACUAGUGAUCCUUCCGCAGGUUCACCUACGGAAA
rnacentral:misc_RNA from 1 species